UUCGCAGUAUAAUACUGUGAAUUGCUUUAACGAAAUUUUAUCCGUUAAAGCAAUUCGCAGUAUUAUACUGCGAA
rnacentral:pre_miRNA from 1 species